UGUUGCUAUGCUAAAGGAUGUCUGGAGAAAAAGAACAACUGGGUUUUCAAUACCAAAUAAGUUGAUAUUAAAUUAGAGAUGUCUGUGAAAUCGCUUCCACUUAGAUGCAACUUGAAUUCAGCCCAAAUGCCUCUUCUUAUUCAGGAAUGACUUUUUGUAGUCAACCAUUAUUCUACAAUUUGGAAGUCUCAGUUAUAUCUGUAAUCCACCAAAAUGCAUGAAUUCAGCUGCUGCACACAGCAGUUUUUGGAAGAGAGCCAAACAAAUUACAGGCAAACCGGCACAACUGGUUAUACGAAAAAGAGCACUGAAAGACUUCAGAACACAGCUAAUUAUAAAAUCUAAACACAAAGCAAGCUGUGCAUUACCAGGGGGGUCUGUCCAUAUCGCUCCAGUUCAAAUGGGCUGUGCGUGCUGUUGAUUUCAUGCACCUGUCCACCAUUAAAUUGGUUGAUUAGUGCUGUUCUAGAGUGCUGAGGUUACUUUGUUUUCGCCACCUCUGUAAUGCAUUUUCAGUAUGGCUUGUACACACCUUCCCCCCUGGGAACCUUUCCAGAUUCCGGAAAUCUGGAAAGGUUCCAUUUCAUUUUCCAGCUGUUGGCUGAAAAGAUACUUGCAGGAGCCUUUAGUCUGCCGGAGCCUUUAGUCUGCAAUGACUUCUUCGGGCCCCAUGGCAACAAAUAUGGCUUUGCCUGAGCAAGCCUAAACAAGACUGAGCACAUGUCACAGAACACUGACAUAUUGUGCAAACCCACCACCUCAUUUGAAUUUGAAUUUCAAAAGUAGAACAAACAAGGGGCAGGUCAUAGAUGUAAAGGCAGUACAAUAUAGCCUUUAAAAUCAACUUAUAGAGUGCGAUUGCUACCUUGCCUUCUCUGACACAACAACAUCAACUAUUGUUGGAAGCCCCUGUAAUGAUUUAAUUCAGAACCCUGUAACAAGAUUCCCCUAGUCUUUCCCUUUAUUGUAACGGUGUUUUUGUAAUGUGUAUUCAUGUUGUAGUAAGGGGCUUAUCAAUGUGCACUCCUAAUGUAGUGAGGCAUUCAUGAGUGUGCACUCAUGAUGUCGGAGGGGUUUACCAAUGUGCACUUGUGAUGUUGUCUGUGGUUUAUGUAUGCACACUCACAAGAUCAGUGAGCAGUGCAGAUGACCACCCUCUUUGAAAUGACCCCCCUCUUUUGUAGUGAAUUGUAUAUGUGGGGUCAGCACAAUCACUGUGGCGUUAUCACCAUCUUCUCUCAUGAUGUUCUCCACCACUUACCUUGAAUUUAUCCUGAUGUUACCUGGUCUGACCUACUUCUGUUCUUUUCCAUUGUAUGUUUCUGCUUCGUUAGCUGCCCUCUACCUUACUCAACUUGAGGAUUAUGUACAUUUGCAUGGGUCAUUUGAAUGUGUGUGCACAUGAUCAGAUGGUUUCUGAGUGAGCAGGUUUAUUUAUGUUUAUUCAGAUGAUAGAUUAUGAAGGGGACCUGCGCAUCAUUCUUGCACAUCCUUUUCCCGGUGGCUUCAGCACAACGUGGUCAUGGGGUUUUCAAAGGAAGAGAGAGAUGCUAAAAGUAACAGGCAGAGAUGAUACAAACCAAUCAGCAGAAGAACAGGCAUCAGAGAAGGUGUUCAAGAAUACAUUCUCCCUGGGCCUGUCUUUAUGCCCCAAAAUACACACACAUAAUAUGUCCUUGUAGUGUGUUAGGGCUGGCCUCACAAAAUUUAUGUGUCCCUGGAUACUAUCUCACUCUGCAGACACAGCACCAGUUGUUUAUCCAUUAGUGAUACUGUAAGUCUAGAGGAGCUAGUUCACCUUCACUGCAGGAAUAACAUGUACUCCAAUUAUACACAACUGAUGCAAAUGGCCAGAAACUAUGUAUAAAUAGAGUAAAGGUCAAUCAAAUUUUUUCUAAAUCAGUCGUAAUGAAAAAAUAACUAAUAAUUAUCUGUCCAUCCAUUAUCUAACCUGCUAAUGUCUGGUGAGGGGUUUUUUUUGGCAGGGGGUUUGAGGGAUGGAGCAUGCAGUGGGCGUGAGACAGGAAUACUCCCUGGCCAGGUCGCCAAACCAUCGCAGGGCACCAUUCACUCACGCUCAUACCUAAAGGUACCUGACACAGGAAGAACAUAUAAACUCCACUCAGAAAGGCCUAGGCUGGGAUUCGAACCAGGAAACAGUCAGUAUAGUUCCCCUGCUUAUAUAUGGUUAUUAUACUACCUUAAUUCCAGUUAUUUGGCAUUCUGUGUGAAACAUUUUUUGUAACAUUUUCUCUGGAGAGGCUCACAACAAAGUAACUGUUUACUCCGUUUAGUUUGGUAUUUAAGGGGAUAUGGUCAGAUGAGUCAUUGUUCACCAUAUUCUCAGGUGGGCAUGUGAGGCAUACACCAAAAGAACAAUACAGGCCUGAAUGCUUGAUUCCUACAGUUAGGGGGUUCGGUGGCUCUGUUAUGCUGUGGGGGGGGCAUUUUCCUGGCAUGGUUUGGGUCCACUUGUCCCCUUAAAGGGAAGGGUCACUGCAAAUCAAUACAAUGUCAUUCUGAGCGAUCACCUUUAUCCUAUGAUGAAACAUGUCUAUUCUGAUGGGAGGGGUCUUUUCCAGGCUGACAAUGCUCCCAUACACAGGGCAUGAGGGGUCACUGAAUGGCUUGAUUAGUAUAGAAAUUAUGUGAAUCAUAUGCUAUAGCCUUCACACUUACCAUGUCUCAACCCAACAACUUUUUUUUCUCAUCUCUGGCGUGCUUGUAGAAACUUUGUGGUGACAAUUUCACUCUGAUGGUAAGGUUCAAUAUGAGGUUUAGAUUCAACAGGCCUGGUUGCAAUUAAGCCAACUGUGUUCAGUCAGCUGAAUCUAAUUAUCAAUUAAAUUUGGUUAAUUGGUUGAUUGUGUAACUCACAUGGGAGAAAUGGGUGAUAACCUUUUUCAUUAAAUGAAUGAAAUAAUAAUUACAAAAAAUGUGUUAAAUGUUCACUCACAUGCUAUAAUCAAGGAAAUCAAGAAGGGGGCAAAUGCUUUUACACGGCACUGUAUAAGACAACUUUCAGUAUCUAGUCUUGAUUCUAGGCUUUUGAUAUCCUUUGUAGUCCAUUAUUGUCAUUUGUCAACAUGCAGACAAGAGUUGUGCUAAUUAAACUAAAGGAAGCCAUUGUGAGGCUGAAAAAUAAAAGUCCUUCACAGUGACAAAAUUGAUCCAAUGCUGUUUACAUAUUUACAUGCUUGAAGAUGCCAGUAUCACUGUAAAGAGUAGGCACAUCUCCAUUGUAGUUCAGUAGUUGGUGAAUCAUCCAAACGUUCUUUGAAUUCGAUUCAGUUCAUUGACAUCUGCAAAUACCAGGAAGGAAGACAAAUAUAUGGUUUGUAAAAAGGCUGCAAUUGAUAACAUAUUGUGAGUAUAAAUGGAAUUAUAUAGUUAAAAUAAGAAAGGCAAAAUUUUCUUUGGAAAGAGUCUGACAACAUUCAUGUUGCUUAACAACUACAUGGACACUAAAGUUCAAUAAGGUGGAGUCCCAGGAAUGUCCAGCUGCCUGAAGACCAUCAAGGAUGCAAAGUGGAGCCCGGGAGACCUGGAGGUCCUGUGGCUGGAUCAGAUUACUGUCUAUGGCAGAGUUUCCCAACCUUUUUCCUUCCGCGGCACACUUUCCAAAUUUACAGAAUCUCAUGGCACACCACGCCGACAGAAAAAAACCGCGAGCGACGUACUGACAUUGAGGUGACGUGCCAACAGUAGGCCUAAAUGUUCUUUUGGGGUUUUAAUUAAGCGAUAUGCAUUUUAAUGACAUUUAUUUUGGCUUUUGUGAAUGGGAUUUGUUCAUUUAAGUUUUUUUAAAUUCAUUUGAACAUAAUUUGUUUUAAAGGAUUUUUCACACGGCACACCGGUUGGGAAACGCUGGUCUAUGGAACCACAUCCCACACUCAAGAUCUCCCACAUUCUGGUGAGAGUCCAGAAUCUCCUCCUGGCUAACUCCAGUAACCUCAAGGUGUGCUUCACAAGUGGAGAUUUCACCACCACACGGCAGAAGAUUGGGGUAGGCAUCAUCCCAGGGUGUGUGUUCUCAAUCAAACCAUUCUGUGGCAAUUAAUCUCAUUGUUAAAUCUGCAUAGAUGUUCAGUAGAGGAGCAGUUCUGGCAAGCAACAUACAGCAGGCUCCAAUCAGAGAAUUUAUGGGUGAUCUGACAAUUACAGCAAAGUCAGUGCCAAGGCCAGAAGGAUUUUGGAAGAUCUGGUAGAGCUCAUCAACUGGGCCAAAAUGGAAUUUAAUCUUAUCCAGAGCGACUUUUACAUAGCAUUUACAUUGCAUCCAUUUAUUCUGCUGGACAUAUACUCAACCAAUGCAGAUUAAAUACCUUGCUCAAGCGUACAACGGCAGUGUCCUAUCCGGGGAUCGAACCUGUGAAGUCCAUUUCCUUCCCCAUUAUAUUACACUGCCGCUCCAUGCCAGGAAGGAGGAUAGAGGGGCGAUUGUGGAGCCACCAGCUCACAGAAGAGACAGGGAGACAAAUACCUGUCUGGUGUGUCAGCAGCAAUGACGCUCAUUGUAUUUUGCAUAUCAACUGAAUGAGUAUUUAUUUUAGAGCAUUUACGUGCCACCCUGUUAUUUACAUUGGAAACCAGUAAUUAUAAUAAACAAUAAAAAUACACUGGGCCCAGGUCAUUAGAGUGCAGAUGGCAAGAUGAUUAUCUAUUGAAUUUCUAGCAUGGAGGAAACAAUAUAAAACAAAAAACAAUGAACCAUUAUGCUAAUUGGCCUCAAUUAUUUCAUGCCAGUGCCAGAAAAUUCACCAUACUGUAUAGUCUUUAACUGGAGUGUAGCAAUACAGAACAGUCAAGCAUAAUCUGAAAGAGAAUGAUAUGGUAAAAAUGAAAUGUCACAACAUGUUGCCAUGACAAAUACAUUAUGAUCCAGAUUGUCAUGGUUUUGACGGGUUAGACCCAAGCGCAGAGUAAAAAGGAAACUCAAAAGGUAAAUAAAACAAAGACUUUACUAAUAACAAAAACAAAACAGGAACAAGCAAAAGGCCACAAGGAGCAACAAAAGAACUCAAAAAUACUAAACAGAAACACAAGCAUAGAAACUCAAAAAGUCAUAACA